UACGGGAGUGGCAAGCGUUAUCCGGAAUUAUUGGGCGUAAAGCGCCUGUAGGUUGUUUAGUAAGUCUGUUGUUAAAGCCUAGGGCUUAACCCUAGAAAAGCAAUGGAAACUACUAGACUAGAGUAUGGUAGGGGUAGAGGGAAUUUCUAGUGUAGCGGUGAAAUGCGUAGAUAUUAGAAAGAACACCAGUGGCGAAAGCGCUCUACUGGACCAUCACUGACACUCAGAGGCGAAAGCUAGGGUAGCAAAAGGGAUUAGAUACCCCUGUAGUCCUAGCCGUAAACGAUGGAUACUAGAUGUUGUGCUUACAGUACAGUAUCGUAGCUAACGCGUUAAGUAUCCCGCCUGGGGAGUACGCUCGCAAGGGUG
rnacentral:rRNA from 1 species